AGAGUUUGAUCCUGGCUCAGGACGAACGCUGGCGGCACGCUUAACACAUGCAAGUCGAACGAGAGAAGAGGAGCUUGCUUUUCUGAUCUAGUGGCGGACGGGUGAGUAACACGUGAGCAAUCUGCCUUUCAGAGGGGGAUACCGAUUGGAAACGAUCGUUAAUACCGCAUAACAUAAUUGAACCGCAUGAUUUGAUUAUCAAAGAUUUAUCGCUGAAAGAUGAGCUCGCGUCUGAUUAGCUAGUUGGUAAGGUAACGGCUUACCAAGGCGACGAUCAGUAGCCGGACCGAGAGGUUGAUCGACCACAUUGGGACUGAGACACGGCCCAGACUCCUACGGGAGGCAGCAGUGGGGAAUAUUGCACAAUGGAGGAAACUCUGAUGCAGCGAUGCCGCGUGAGGGAAGAAGGUUUUAGGAUUGUAAACCUCUGUCUUCAGGGACGAAAAAAGACGGUACCUGAGGAGGAAGCUCCGGCUAACUACGUGCCAGCAGCCGCGGUAAUACGUAGGGAGCGAGCGUUGUCCGGAAUUACUGGGUGUAAAGGGAGCGUAGGCGGGAUCGCAAGUCAGAUGUGAAAACUAUGGGCUUAACCCAUAAACUGCAUUUGAAACUGUGGUUCUUGAGUGAAGUAGAGGUAAGCGGAAUUCCUAGUGUAGCGGUGAAAUGCGUAGAUAUUAGGAGGAACAUCAGUGGCGAAGGCGGCUUACUGGGCUUUAACUGACGCUGAGGCUCGAAAGCGUGGGGAGCAAACAGGAUUAGAUACCCUGGUAGUCCACGCCGUAAACGAUGAUUACUAGGUGUGGGGGGACUGACCCCUUCCGUGCCGCAGCAAACGCAAUAAGUAAUCCACCUGGGGAGUACGACCGCAAGGUUGAAACUCAAAGGAAUUGACGGGGGCCCGCACAAGCAGUGGAGUAUGUGGAUUAAUUCGAAGCAACGCGAAGAACCUUACCAGGUCUUGACAUCGUAUGCAUAGCUCAGAGAUGAGUGAAAUCUCUUCGGAGACAUAUAGACAGGUGGUGCAUGGUUGUCGUCAGCUCGUGUCGUGAGAUGUUGGGUUAAGUCCCGCAACGAGCGCAACCCUUACUGUUAGUUGCUACGCAAGAGCACUCUAGCAGGACUGCCGUUGACAAAACGGAGGAAGGUGGGGAUGACGUCAAAUCAUCAUGCCCCUUAUGACCUGGGCCUCACACGUACUACAAUGGCUGUCAACAGAGGGAAGCAAAGCCGCGAGGUGGAGCGAACCCCUAAAAGCAGUCUUAGUUCGGAUUGUAGGCUGCAACCCGCCUACAUGAAGUCGGAAUUGCUAGUAAUCGCAGAUCAGCAUGCUGCGGUGAAUACGUUCCCGGGCCUUGUACACACCGCCCGUCACGCCAUGGGAGUCGGUAACACCCGAAGCCUGUAGUCUAACCGCAAGGAGGACGCAGUCGAAGGUGGGAUUGAUGACUGGGGUGAAGUCGUAACAAGGUA
rnacentral:rRNA from 1 species